CUGGCCUCAUGUUGUCAAGGUUCAUGACAUACUGGCCUCAUGUUGUCAAGGUUCAUGACAUACUGGCUUCAUGUUGUCAAGGUUCAUGACAUACUGGCCUCAUGUUGUCAAGGUUCAUGACAUACUGGCCUCAUGUUGUCAAAGUUCAUGACAUACUGGCUUCAUGUUGUCAAGGUUCAUGACAUACUGGCUUCAUGUUGUCAAGGUUCAUGACAUACUGGCCUCAUGUUGUCAAGGUUCAUGACAUACUGGACCCAUGUUGUCAAGGUUCAUGACAUACUGGCCCCAUGUUGUCAAGGUUCAUGACAUACUGGCUUCAUGUUGUCAAGGUUCAUGACAUACUGGCUUCAUGUUGUCAAGGUUCAUGACA
rnacentral:lncRNA from 1 species